AUGCAAUGCAGUCGAGCGGACAGAAGGGAGCUUGCUCCCGGAUGUUAGCGGCGGACGGGUGAGUAACACGUGGGUAACCUGCCUGUAAGACUGGGAUAACUCCGGGAAACCGGAGCUAAUACCGGAUAGUUCCUUGAACCGCAUGGUUCAAGGAUGAAAGACGGUUUCGGCUGUCACUUACAGAUGGACCCGCGGCGCAUUAGCUAGUUGGUGAGGUAACGGCUCACCAAGGCGACGAUGCGUAGCCGACCUGAGAGGGUGAUCGGCCACACUGGGACUGAGACACGGCCCAGACUCCUACGGGAGGCAGCAGUAGGGAAUCUUCCGCAAUGGACGAAAGUCUGACGGAGCAACGCCGCGUGAGUGAUGAAGGUUUUCGGAUCGUAAAGCUCUGUUGUUAGGGAAGAACAAGUGCAAGAGUAACUGCUUGCACCUUGACGGUACCUAACCAGAAAGCCACGGCUAACUACGUGCCAGCAGCCGCGGUAAUACGUAGGUGGCAAGCGUUGUCCGGAAUUAUUGGGCGUAAAGGGCUCGCAGGCGGUUUCUUAAGUCUGAUGUGAAAGCCCCCGGCUCAACCGGGGAGGGUCAUUGGAAACUGGGAAACUUGAGUGCAGAAGAGGAGAGUGGAAUUCCACGUGUAGCGGUGAAAUGCGUAGAGAUGUGGAGGAACACCAGUGGCGAAGGCGACUCUCUGGUCUGUAACUGACGCUGAGGAGCGAAAGCGUGGGGAGCGAACAGGAUUAGAUACCCUGGUAGUCCACGCCGUAAACGAUGAGUGCUAAGUGUUAGGGGUUUCCGCCCCUUAGUGCUGCAGCUAACGCAUUAAGCACUCCGCCU
rnacentral:rRNA from 1 species